UACAGAGGUCUCAAGCGUUGUUCGGAUUCAUUGGGCGUAAAGGGUGCGUAGGUGGCGCCGUAAGUCAGGUGUGAAAUUUCGGAGCUUAACUCCGAAACUGCAUUUGAUACUGCGGUGCUUGAGGACUGGAGAGGAGACUGGAAUUCACGGUGUAGCAGUGAAAUGCGUAGAUAUCGUGAGGAAGACCAGUGGCAAAGGCGGGUCUCUGGACAGUUCC
rnacentral:rRNA from 1 species